UCUGCGAUUUAUCCUCAACUUAUUUCACAAAAUUUACUCAUUUUCACUCAUUCUCACAUUUCACUCAUUUUACACAUUCUUACACUCACUACAUUUCACACAUUUCUCACUUAUUUACAUUCUCACACAUUUUUUACUAAUUUCUUUACACAUUUCUCACUAGAUUUUACACAUUUCUCACUAGAUUUUACACAUUUCUCACUCAUUCUCACAUAUUUGUUCCCUCAUUUCUAUCAGGGCUUUUCUCACCAUGUCUUUUCCAGUUUUUUUUUCAGGGCUGGAGCUGCUGGACUACCUGGACUGGCUGGAGGAGCACCACCCCAUUUCCCCAGACCAACCGCUUGUGUCGUUUUUUACUGCCUGUUCUACCCCUCUUUCUUCCCGAUCGAGUGGGAGGACAGGGUCGAGUACUGGGUGUGGCGUCUGCGCAGCCAUGCUGCACACCUGUGCUUCGUGGAACUGACCUGGAGACUCUACCAGAAGACCAGGUUUGCCACAUCUGCCUGCAGACAGCUGGAUCCUCCAUCAGACAGGGACAACGAGCACAAGGGCCCUUGCAUCGUGCUCACAGAAGAGGACUGGGAACCACCACGCAAGAAACAACUUUAUUUUUCUCUGUAUGUAUCUCUCUAUUUCUCUUUAGUUUCCUUUACAUUUUUUUAUU
rnacentral:lncRNA from 1 species